GAGAGCAGACCACCCACCUCGAGGAUCGCGCUGCUUAAUAGAAACAGGCAUGUAAUUGUGAGACCUUCCAGCACACAGCAGAAUGACUGCAACCUAGCAGGAUUAUUACACUCCCUGUUCCUUUAAAAUCACUUCUUAAAACCUGUGAAAGAUAACAUCGUGUAGCUCCCGAAAUUAAAACGCAAAGCAAGACUAGUCCGGUCACACAGGAGCGCCUCGAGGAAGAUGUUCCGAUAUAAGAAGAUAUAUUUUGCACAUGGAUUAAAAUUCGCAGGAAAAAAGACAUCCAGUUAAAAGGAUCGUGUUCCUUUAAAUUUUCGUGGUACUAUUAAAUGUGGAAAAGUAUCAAUUAA